CUGCACUGUUCGUAACCUGUUUCAGCCCAUCAGUCUGAGAUUUGGGUUCCAUUCCAGUGCAAAAGUAAAAACUCAGUGAGGCAGGGGAGUAGUGCCCUAUUUGUGCUUUCUCCCUGUUCACUCUCUGAUGACAAAA